AGUGAACGCUGGCGGUAGGCCUAACACAUGCAAGUCGAACGGCAGCACAGUAAGAGCUUGCUCUUACGGGUGGCGAGUGGCGGACGGGUGAGGAAUACAUCGGAAUCUACUUAUUCGGGGGGGACAACGGAGGGAAACUUACGCUAAUACCGCAUACGACCUACGGGUUAAAGCAGUGGAUCUACGGAGCUUGCGCGACUGAAUGAGCCGAUGUCGGAUUAGCUAGUUGGCGAGGUAAAGGCCCACCAAGGCGACGAUCCGUAGCUGAUCUGAGAGGAUGAUCAGCCACACUGGAACUGAGACACGGUCCAGACUCCUACGGGAGGCAGCAGUAGGGAAUAUUGGACAAUGGGCGAAAGCCUGAUCCAGCCAUACCGCGUGGGUGAAGAAGGUCUUCGGGUUGUAAAGCCCUUUUGUUGGGAAAGAAAAACAGCAUGUUAAUCCCCCGCUGUUCUGACGGUACCCAAAGAAUAAGCACCGGCUAACUUCGUG
rnacentral:rRNA from 1 species